CUGCAAAACAUCAAACAGUGAUAUUUCUUUGUCAUGGUAAAAUCCUUCAGCUUCUCCUUUCAGCCUCAGGGGUUUGACAUGUGCCACCGUGUUGACCUGAAAUGGGUAUAACCCGCACAUCAGAACGUUUACUUACAGUACCAUCCAGUGCCAGUGGAAUAAAUGAACAGUGAAAAACAUUUACAUUUGUACGUAACAGGUUUAGUCACGCAUCAUUUUAGUGCCAGAUGUGUUUGAGUGCUACAUGUGGAACUUGUGAUGAGUUAUUUCCUGCCAUUUGGUCCAAGAUGCAGAUGUGCAUAGGCGUGCAUAACAACAGAUGCAGUAUGUGGAGGUGAAUGUUAUUCA